ACGAACGCUGGCGGCGUGCUUAACACAUGCACGUCGAACGGGCCUUGUCCCCUUUUUUUUGGGGGUGGGGUUAGUGGCGAACGGGUGAGUAACACGUGAGUAACCUGCCCCUCACUUCUGGAUAACCGCUUGAAAGGGUGGCUAAUACGGGGUGUUCUGGCCUGCUCGCAUGGGUGGGUUUGGAAAGAUUCGACCGGUUUUGGUUGUUUUGGUGGGGGAUGGGCUCGCGGCCUAUCAGCUUGUUGGUGGGGUGAUGGCCUGCCAAGGCUUUGACGGGUAGCCGGCCUGAGAGGGUGGGCGGUCACACUGGGACUGAGACACGGCCCAGACUCCUACGGGAGGCAGCAGUGGGGAAUAUUGCACAAUGGGCGCAAGCCUGAUGCAGCGACGCCGCGUGAGGGAUGGAGGCCUUCGGGUUGUGAACCUCUUUCGCCAGUGAAGAAGGUCCUGCUCUUUGUGGUGGGGUUGACGGUAGCUGGGUUAAUGAAGCGCCGGCUAACUACGUG
rnacentral:rRNA from 1 species